GCGGGCCGGACCCCACUGGCUUUACUCUGCGAAAAUGCGGUGGAAAAAGGCAACGCUGCAGUUCCAGGUGGCUUGGGGGCGUGGCCGGUGUUCCCCGAAAAGGAGUCGCUAGCCAAUUUGAGACCCCGGUUCCCCUGUCAGCCUCACACAGGGACGCACGUAGGGCCGCCGGAAAGCCGUCAGGUAGUCGGCUGACGAGUUUGGAAGCUCCUCAGAUUCGCCUCUUGUGAAGUCCGAGGGUGGUUAUAAACCCCAACUGUCACGACAAGUUUGUUUUUCCGACAAGAUUCCGACUCCGCCAGGCUGUAAACAAUGACUUUGCCUUAGAAGUGGCAGUUGCCUAGGAAGAACUUGGAAAAGCCGUUUGAGUUGAACUGCCAAGUCCGAGCGUUUGAAGCUCCUCAGAAGUUUACUUGAACUGUGGCCCAAACUGUAUCUUUUCCACAAGGGCUGGACAUGUUUCAGGAAUCUGGUGCUUCCUUGGAGAAUGUUUUCCUCGGCCUGAACUGGAAGCUGCUCUCCAUAUUCUGCAUUUCUUGUUCUCAUCCGUUGAAACUGACCUUGUCCCAGUCCCUGAGAGCCCACCGUGUGUGAAGCAAGCCCACCGUGGCGCAGUAGUCAAGGCCACACUCACUCUGCCCCUUCUGAUGCCAACUCGACGUCUCAUCAGGAAGUUCGCCGGGCGUUUUGGAACCUGAGGCCUCCGUUCUGUGUCUGCUCUGCAUUUCCUUCUUAAGCACCUACUAUUGGAUCUGUGCCACAACACCCUGUACACCACCUCAGGGAGAGGACUCACAUUUUCAAUUUACCUAGUAGAUGUUUUUUGAUCUAUCUCCCCCAUGAGGCUGGCAAACCUUAGGCCAGAAACAUUGUUGUUCCUUUGUCGGCACAGUCCCUGGCACUUAGAAGUAUGGUUGUGGAAAGAAGUUCCUUCAGUAGUCAGGAAGGAAAGCGUCUUCAUCGUGUGGAUUGUUUCCUUGACUGUGGAGAACAGGGAAUCAAAAGGUAAUGUCCAGGAAGAGAGUGGAACAGGGUGGAGAGACCCAUCGUGGGACAGAUUUAUGGUCCCUUCAUCCACUGAAGAUGUUAUUUACGAGAGACAUGCAGUCAGUUUUCAUGGGCUGAUCUGCUGAGUUCAGCCUAGGAGCUGAGGCCAACAUCUGAGUCUCCUCAGCACACAAGUUUGACAGAAGUCUUAGCGAUUUCAAGCCCAGGGCUACGGCGGUGGUGGCUUCUGCUUGGCUUCAAAGCCCCGCUCCCCUUCCAGGGAGAGACGAGGCAUGGCACCCACGAGCUAGCUGCUGGCCACCUCAACGUCUCAACUGACCUCCCCUAAAUAUGAUUCUCUGGCUUCUGCAGAGUCUAUGAUCUACUCAGCGCAUUUUUUUUAAAAUAAAAAAUACUAGUUUCUGCUUAAAAUAGUUUGA
rnacentral:lncRNA from 1 species